UUCGAUCCCCGUACGGGCCAGGAAGAUAAUGUUUUUUUUAAAUGAGAAAAUUAGAAACUCCUAGGUCUUGAAAGUUGACUUCAGCCUCUUCCUACCCUAACCCGCCAGUACAGCGCGGACUAGUUUAAAUCCAGCUCUGGUCAUCCGGGACCUUUUCCCAGACUCCAGCUUCUCUGGCGGUGCUGUGGCCCGGGUGGACCUCGGUUUUUGAUGCCGAAAGUGCCGGUCGGGACAGAGCGUUCCGCGGGUGUUUACUGCAAGCCGACCGCACGCCCUGCAGCCCCCGCCGUGGACGCUGCGGUGUUCUCAGAAGACUGCCAGAGAUUUUUCCACUCCGCACCUCGUCCUCUUAGUUCUGCGUUUGGAGGCAGAGGACAGUGAGCACUUUUCCCACGGAAUUUUCUAUUCUCUGGGCUGGUCAUGGGUGUUUACCAAAAAACAAAGCAAAAUAAAACAAAACCCCCAGCUUUCUAGGUUCUUCGCCUUUUAGCUCCGCUGUAGGUACAGGGAGCUGCUGCGUUUUGUUUUCCGUAGCCCAGACUCCAGGAUUCUUCCCCUGCCGCCAGCGCUGACGGCUGAGAUUACGGAAUGGACCACCACCCCUGUCUGCCGCUCUGCCCUUGUCUCCAAUGUGGUUGGACUCUGGAUUAGAUAACAGCGGCUCAAGUCCAUAGAGUUUAAGGUCUUGGGCGGCUCCGUUACCUCCACCGCUGUGAACUACGCCAUCUGCGCGGGGCCUUGGGUUGGGCCCCUUCAGCGUGUACAUCGUGAACGCAGUAGCGGGAACUAAGGACUCCAUCAGUGCAAGGGGACGUGGACAUGGAAAAGGACUGGCAGAUGGCGGCAGGACUGGCUCUUUCGAUGGAGAGCAAAGAAAGCAGCUCCCUCUCGUAACCUUGACUGCGCAGUGCGUGCGUGGGCUCUGUUGGGUGAAGCACUGAGACAGAAGGAGGAAUCACGGCCUUCAGCACAGACAUUUGAGAGAUUCAGAAUACACCACUGAAAUGGGGCAGCCACUGGUGCACACACCUUCAAUCCCGGCACUCUGGAGGCAGAGGCAGGCAGCGAGGCCAGCCUGGUCUAUAGAGUGAGUUCCAGUAUAGUCAAAGCCAGACAGAGAAACCCUGUCUCCUCAAACAAACAAAUAAACAGAUGGGGCUGGAGAGAUGGCUCAGCAGUUAAGAGCAUGGGCUGCUUCCAAAGGUCCUGAGUUCAAAUCCCAGCAACCACAUGGUGAUUUACAGCCAUCCAUAAAGGGAUCUGACACCCUCUGCUGGUGCAUCUGAAGACAGCUACAGUGGACUUACUAUUAUUAUUAUUUGGUUUUUUGAGACAGGGUUUCUCUGUGUAGUCCUGGCUGUCCUGAAACUCACUCUGUAGAUCAGGCUGGCCUCAAACUCAGAAAUCUGCCUACCUCUGCCUCCUGAGUGCUGGGAUUAAAGGCAUG